AUUUACAAUGCUAAAGUCCUGGUAACAUACAGGCAGGGGAAAUGUCUCUUCCAAGAUUCUGGUCUUCUGGGGCAGGGUUCUGCUGUGCUGAUUCUCAGUUGUCUGUGCCUGGGUGGAGAUGUCCCACACCUUGCUCAGUGCAAGAAGUAAACAUCAGAACAAAUGAUAAUUCCAUAUCAAUAAGUGAAUCAAGCAAAAAAAUAUGGAAUCAAGAUUAUUUUCCUUUGACAUUUCCCAAACCACUCCAGCCAGGUAGAAAAAAGAGAUCAAGACCUUCAGAAUCACAAAUCACAGUUCCUAGACAUGAAAAAAGAAAAUUAGAGGAAAUUCAGAAGCCAGCUCAUAUAAGGAUAAGGCAUUCUUCAAAAAAAAUUUCCCAAAGGCCAUCUGUUUACUUAACAGUUAGGAGACAGGCUCAGUUCAGAAAUCCUUAUACUCUUAAAGCUUAUCCUGAAAAUGGAGAAUCUAAGAAGUCCAGAGAUGACAAAAAAGGAGGAACUUUACAGAGAAAUGCCAAGGAAAACAAAAGCCCACAUGACACAACUACAGAUUCUAAAACAGUAAAUGAUGAGAAACCUAGAAAAGGAAAUAAAGCAGUUAAAACUCCAUCAAAAUUAUCAUGUGAACUAUCUAAGAAGUCAAAGUCCAAAUUAGAAAUAAACCCAGAAUCCAAUGAUUUUGAGGCAAUAUCAAUGUAUCCAAAAAAAGAUAAGAGAGAGUCAAAGAAUUCCAAGGAGACAGAUAAUGAUUUCAUAUGUGCAAAGAAGGAUUCUAAGGAUUCACAGAACAAUUCUGAUGCCAAAUCUCAGACUUGUUCAAAAAAUAGUUCAAAUAUGGAUUUAAUACUCUAUUUAGAGGAGUCUGGUGCUGAAUCCAUGAAACUUGAUAUGUGGUUAAAGAAUUACUCUCAGAAUAAUUCAAAGAAGCCUUCAAAGAAGGACACAAAAAAGGAUGCAAAGGGCUCUGAUGCUGAAUCUGUAGACUCAAAAGAUGCAAAGAAAGAUGUAAAGAAAGACAAGAAAGGUACAAAGAAAGACAAGAAGGAUUCAAAGAAAGACACAGAGUCUACUGAUGCAGAAUCUGUAGACUCAAAGGAUGCAAAGAAAGAGCCAAAGAAAGCUAAAAAAGACUCAAAGAAAAGUGACAAGAAAAGGGAUGCAAAAAAAGACACAGAGACUACUGAUGCAGAAUCAGCAGACUCAAAGGAUUCAAAGAAACAGUCAAAGAAGGCUAAGAAAGAUUCAAAGAAAAAUGACAAGAAAAAGGAUACAAAGAAGGAUGAAAUGUCUACUGAUGCUGAAUCUGAGUCUGAAUUGGAGACAACGAAUUGGAAGAAAGAUGAAAAGAAGGAUAAGAUAGAUUCAAAAAAAGAUGAGAAGAAAAAGGAUGCCAAGAAGGAUGAAGUGUCCACUGAUGCUGAUUCUGAAUCUGAAUGGAAUUCAGAAAAGGGUAAACAAGAUGAAAAAAAGGAUAAGAGAAUUUCAAAAAAAGACAAAAAUAAAUCUGCAAUGAAAUCUGAAGAGUCUACUGAAACUGAAUCGGAUUGGGAGUCAAAGGAUAAGUAUGAAUCAAAGAAAAUUAAGAAAGGUUCAAAGAAAGAUGCCAAGAAACAAGAGUCUACUGAUGCAGAAUAUGAUGAAUAUUCCAAGAGAGACUCAAAGAAGCCUGAGACAUUCAAAAGUUCAGAUGCUGAAUCUGAAGAGUCACUAUAUAAACUUGAUGCCACAUCUGCAGAUUCAAAGAAGGAAACACUGGAACUAAAGAGAGAAUUCAAAAUGUCAUCCAAAAAGACUACAUUCAAAGAAAAGGGGGAAAAAACAGGUACAGGUAGAGUCCCCCCAUUAAGAGAAAAACCACCACUACCUCCUUGUGAGCCUUUACUACCAUCACCCAAGAUCAAACGUCUCUGUCGGUGCAAGAUGCCUCCUGAGCCUCUAAAACCAAGAUAUGCUCCUUUGUAGGUAGCAUCAACAUGACCAUAGACACUGGAACUCCCAAAGCCCCCAGUGGCAAAGGACUUCCUUACCAUCAUACCCUCCAAGAGCACUGAGUACACCUGCCCUCCUUCUUGGAAGUCCCAGCCCACAAUGAUGAUUCCUACCAUCAGAUCUUCUUCGUAUCAGUAACAUAUCUCCUUAAAGAGGCUGGCCGCCUUAUGUACCAGCAAAGUUUUAUUCAGCUUGAUACUGUGGAAACCAAGCUGAUGGGUGAUAGCAUCAGCUACAGAUUGGGUAUCAGCUGCUGAGACUGAGCAGCAGGAGAAAAUACAGUCAAGAAUGGGCCUGAAGCAAAGUGGAUUCAUAAGCUUCUUUAAAAAACAACUGAGCGCUUGGUUUCACAGAAUGGCCUUACCAUGGUAAAUGCUGGCUACUCUCGAGUGAGCAUUUCUGCUUCUGUGGAACUGUAAUAAAUAAAAAC